GAUGAAGAACGUAGCGAAAUGCGAUAAGUAAUGCGAAUUGCAGAAUUCAGUGAAUCAUCGAAUCUUUGAACGCACAUUGCGCCCGCUAGUAUUCUGGCGGGCAUGCCUGUCUGAGCGUCAUUUCAACCCUCGCCCCCGGCUUUUGCUGGGAGCGGUGUUGGGGAUCGGCCGCCCGUCACUGGGAGGCCGGCCCCGAAAUAGAGUGGCGACCACGCCGUGUGCUCCUCUGCGUAGUAGUAAAUCACCUCGCAGGCGGACAGCGGUGCGGCCUGCCGUAAAACCCCCAACUCUUUCUGGUUGACCUCAGAUCAGGUAGGAAUACCCGCUGAACUUAACAUAUCAAUAAGCGGAGGA
rnacentral:misc_RNA from 1 species